GGGGACUCGGCCGGCAUCGUCGUUAGCACAGAAGAUCCUCAGUCAUAGUUAACAAAAUGGAAAAAAAAUUAGCUGUGUUUUUAAGAUUCCAGUGGUGGCCAUCAAUUGCUCAGGAAAGCAGCCCAGAAUCACUUCACAACAGGUUUCCAAAGGAUCAUCAAUCAUCAUUCAUCAGCACAGAAGGGUGGGAAAGAGAAGGCUGUUCAAAUUCUGAAAAGCCAGAGCUGCAAAGGAGGUCAAAGAUGCAGUGCAGUUGGCCCACUCAGUAGAGUGUCACUAGUGGUUCUGAUGUGGACUGAAGAUUACACGCUGGAUUGAAGUGGCCGGUCUGGAGCAGCUGUAGUUCAUCAUUCCUGCUGAUUGUGGACGAGUAAGAGCCCGCGUUGGCCCCGAUCGGCGAUCGCUGGCCAAAGCCCACCACCAGUUUGGUGAUAGGCGUUGGCUGUGAUAUCUAGUGUCGCCUAUGUGUGAAAAGGACAAGUUGAUAACAAAACCUGUUGCGCCAUGUUAUUAACCCGCGCCCGGGUGGCCCUCAGUCAACUUGGUGGGGG